rnacentral:rRNA from 1 species
GUGGGGAAUCUUAGACAAUGGGGGCAACCCUGAUCUAGCCAUGCCGCGUGAGUGAUGAAGGCCUUAGGGUCGUAAAGCUCUUUCGCUGGGGAAGAUAAUGACGGUACCCAGUAAAGAAACCCCGGCUAACUCCGUGCCAGCAGCCGCGGUAAUACGGCGGGGGUUAGCGUUGUUCGGAAUUACUGGGCGUAAAGCGCGCGUAGGCGGAUUGGAAAGUUGGGGGUGAAAUCCCGGGGCUCAACCCUGGAAUGGCCAUCAAAACUCCCAGUCUUGAGGUCGAGAGAGGUGAGUGGAAUUCCGAGUGUAGAGGUGAAAUUCGUAGAUAUUCGGAGGAACACCAGUGGCGAAGGCGGCUCACUGGCUCGAUACUGACGCUGAGGUGCGAAAGCGUGGGGAGCAAACAGGAUUAGAAACCCGUGUAGUCC